AACGAACGCUGGCGGCAGGCUUAACACAUGCAAGUCGAGCGCCCCUUCGGGGGAGCGGCAGACGGGUGAGUAACGCGUGGGAAUCUACCCAGCUCUGCGGAAUAACCUGAGGAAACUUGGACUAAUACCGCAUACGCCCUUCGGGGGAAAGAUUUAUCGGAGUUGGAUGAGCCCGCGUUUGAUUAGCUAGUUGGUGGGGUAAAGGCCUACCAAGGCGACGAUCAAUAGCUGGUCUGAGAGGAUGAUCAGCCACAUUGGGACUGAGACACGGCCCAAACUCCUACGGGAGGCAGCAGUGGGGAAUAUUGGACAAUGGGCGCAAGCCUGAUCCAGCCAUGCCGCGUGAGUGAUGAAGGCCCUAGGGUUGUAAGCUCUUUCAACGGUGAAGAUAAUGACGGUAGCCGUAGAAGAAGCCCGGCUAACUUCGUGCCAGCGCCGCGGU
rnacentral:rRNA from 1 species